AGAGUUUGAUCCUGGCUCAGGACGAACGCUGGCGGCGUGCCUAAUGCAUGCAAGUCGAGCGGGCUACGAUCUUCGGAUUGUAGCUUAGCGGCGAACGCGUGAGUAACACGUAGGUAAUCUACCCUUCAGAGGAGGACAACCUCAGGAAACUGAGGCUAAACCUUCAUACGUUCACUGGUAGGGAUACUGGUGAAGAAAGAGUUACCUUAGUGGUAGCUGCUGAAGGAUGAGCCUGCGGCCCAUCAGGUAGUUGGUGAGGUAACGGCUCACCAAGCCGAAGACGGGUAACCGGUCUGAGAGGAUGUCCGGUCACACUGGGACUGAGACACGGCCCAGACUCCUACGGGAGGCAGCAGCAGGGAAUCUUGGGCAAUGGGCGAAAGCCUGACCCAGCGACGCCGCGUGGAGGAAGAAGUCCUUCGGGGCGUAAACUCCUGGACUGGGGGACGAGUAAGGACGGUACCCCAGUAGAAAGGGACGGCUAACUACGUGCCAGCAGCCGCGGUAAAACGUAGGUCCCGAGCGUUGUUCGGAUUCACUGGGUGUAAAGGGCGCGUAGGUGGUUGUCUGUGUCUCAUGUGAAAACUCAGGGCUCAACUCUGAGAUUGCGUGGGAAACUAGGCAGCUAGAGGACGGUAGAGGGGAGUGGAAUUCCCGGUGUAGCGGUAAAAUGCGUAGAUAUCGGGAGGAACACCGGUGGCGAAGGCGGCUCUCUGGGCCGAUCCUGACGCUGAGGCGCGAAAGCUAGGGGAGCGAACCGGAUUAGAUACCCGGGUAGUCCUAGCCGUAAACGAUGGGUGCUAGGUGUUGGGGGGUAAAGACCCUUCAGUGCCGAAGCCAACGCGAUAAGCAUCCCACCUGGGGAGUACGGCCGCAAGGUUGAAACUCAAAUGAAUUGACGG
rnacentral:rRNA from 1 species